GCCUCCGGAGAAGUACUCCUGAUACCCGGCUUCGUAAGGAGGACGUGAAGGCGGUUUUGGUGGUGGAUACGAUGGAUAUCCGUGUGGGUGUUGAGGAUAUCCUUCGUGAUGAUGCGACGGAGGAUAUACCGGAGGCGGAGGUGCUGAUGGAUAACCCGGCGGUGGAGGAUACUGAGAUUGGUAACCUAACCGAUUUUGAUCAAAACGAGAUGGAAGAUUUAGAGUGGAUCAAAAGGUUUCGUUCUUCUAAUGCAACAGAAUCACAGAAGGGAUCAUAAGGAUAUUACAAACCUGGAGGAGGAUACGUUUCAGGCGGAACCUUCUCGUAGCUCAUUUUGAUCUAAGAAAGAAGAAAAACUUGUUGUUGUUUGGUCUGAGGAGAAUCAGACUCGGGAUUAACGAGGAAAUGAUAUAUACGUACGAGGUUUGUCGGAGAAGAUCUGCCGACGCUUUUCCAAUUAUAUCUAUACACGUGACGAAUUAUGAAUGGGUGAAUGAUCUCUCGAUAAUGUAGAAGAUAUUCCAAUAAGCAAAUAUAGCAGUGAACACGUCCAUCAUAGACAUGGGCCUUCACUCAUUCAUAGCUCAGUUACCCAAUAAUCUAAUAUCUCCCUCCAACAUGUAUUUUAGGAAAAAAUUGGAAAAAUACACACAUAAUUUUUUUUAAUAUGAGUCAGUUUGUUUCAGCUUGUUUUCUGUGAAUAUACAUAGAAUUGAGAGAACAACUUGCGGUGAUGAUAACUCACUAUAAAAUGAUGUGUUAGACGUUGUUCUCUCAGUUCUUGAACAACAAACGUUGUUUUUUUCAUGAUAUGGUUUCGAUAUGAUGGAGCAAAACGAGAUCUGAGUUAGUUAAAUAGUUGAAUAUAAUCAAAUAUAUAUCUAUCCUGCAAAAAUCGACUUAAAAUCAACUAAAAGAAAUUAAUAUAGCAGGUUCGACGUUUGGUAACACUUAGGCUGCAGCUGGAUCAACAAAAUUUGGAAUUGGAAUACUUGGAAUGAGUCAUUCCUUUUGAUUCCGAAAAAAUAACACCAGUUAUAGUGAAAGAUCAUUCAUAAAGCAUUCCUAAAUUUUUUUUGGAAUAAAUGGAAAGAGAACAAUUUCUUAACAAAAUCAUUCAGCAACGUAAAAGUUGAGUAAUAAAUGGAAUGCCUAAUUUUAUUUUUAAUUCAAUUAAUACUUAAUUUUAUAACUACUUUACUUCUAUUCCAUUCAUAUUCAUUCCAUUCAUCAUUUCAAUUCCUUUUGUUCAUGCUAUUCCAUGAAAUGGUUUCCAGUUCCACCCUAACAUUUCCAGUUCCAAACCCUUCUGGAAUAUUGGUACCUGAACUCAGUGUCUUACCACACUAACAUUCAAGUAAGUCUAUUUCCAAUCAUAAUUCAUGGGAUUCAGUAAAUAACGAAAGAUAAUUUCUUAUUGCAUACAAAUUCAUAUGUAUGAAGUAUAAUAAUUUUCGUCAAGUGCACAUAACUGAACUGAAAGUCAAAGAAAGUGUAAUUUAUUAAAAUAUUUAAUAUAUUAAUCUGGAUAAAAAUGUUUUUUCACAUAUGAUAAAAUGUAAUUUUCAGAAAAUAAAAGGCAUAAUUUUAAACAUUUAAACUAUAAUUAGUAGAGUACUUUUCAGAUUAUCCCUCUAUUUUAACACAAUUUUUAAAAUAUUAUUUUGCUUCAGAAUGGUACACCAACAGUAACACACUAAAUUUUUGGCACCACAUACAUGCAAUUAAGAUCAAACAAACAUGUUUUUCUUUAUUACAAAAUACCAUGUAACAAGAAUGAGACUAGAUGAUUGAUAGAAGAAGAAAAAUUGUUUGAAAAUAUUUUCUGGCUGUAAAUCUUUCAUUCUUCGAAGAGGAAAGUU